GUGGUCAAGCUCCCUUUAGCAGCACAUAUACUAAAAUUGGAACAAUACAGAGUAGAUUAGCAUGGCCCCUGUGCAAAGAUGACAUGCAAAUUCGUGAAGAAUUCCAUUAAAAG
ensembl:snRNA U6 U6 spliceosomal RNA